CCAAAAUCACACUUAAAAUACACUUGACGUUUCACUUAAAAGUGGGAGUUCAGUGAAUUUCUUCAUUUCAAGUGGCUCAUGUAGAUUUCACUUACCCGUCACUUAUGUUUCAAGUGACCGAAUCAAUGUUCACUAACUCAUCACAUAAGUUUUAAGUGACUGUCACUUAAAAUUCCUCUGAAAAUCCACUUACUUCGCCGCUCACUCCAAUUUCAUUACAUUCUCACUUAAAAUUCACUUGACCCGUCACUUAAUUGUCAAAUUCACUUGACCGGUCACUUAAAAUUGAAAUGAAUGUACAGGUAGCGAAUGACAGCCAUGUUGUGAAAGAUUGUUUUUAUUAUGGAAACAUAACAGAAUUGUGUAUGAGCUGGUAGGUGCAGAAAAAGAGUCAUUUAUAAGUUUCAUAACAAUUAUAUACUUCCAGAGCCCGAGAAAAAUAUCCUGUGAGGCGGAUAAUACGUCGUAGUGCAACUAUUCAUCCGAAUGAGGGGCCAAAAUAUGAAUCGGCAGAAGUUGUAACUUCUACAGAGCAACUAUGAAUAAAUUGGCCAUGGUGGGAAAUCUUUGUUGGAUAUUUCGGAAAUGCUUCCCGAUGGUAUUUUUAUUCUGAAAUUUUCAAGAACAGUGCGAAUAAAAAAAAUAUCAGCCUAAAUUUUGGGAAAAAAUCGAAAAAGUAGAUGAGUAUUUCAAGCCAAAACUUUAAUUUGAACCCAUCAAUAAAUUUGUGA